rnacentral:rRNA from 2 species
UAAGGUGGUUAUAGCGACGGGGCUCACCUCUUACCAUUCCGAACAGAGAAGUUAAGCCCGUUUGCGCCGAUGGUACUACUAUCUGUGGAAGAGUAGGUCGCCGCCUUUU